CGGCCUUGACAUACUAAGAACUUUCCAGAGAUGGAUUGGUGCCUUCGGGAACUUAGAUACAGGUGCUGCAUGGCUGUCGUCAGCUCGUGUCGUGAGAUGUUGGGUUAAGUCCCGCAACGAGCGCAACCUUUUCCUAUUUGCCAGCGGGUCAUGCCGGGAACUUUAAGGAUACUGCCAGUGACAAACUGGAGGAAGGCGGGGACGACGUCAAGUCAUCAUGGCCCUUACGGCCAGGGCUACACACGUGCUACAAUGGUCGGUACAAAGGGUUGCUACCUCGCGAGAGGAUGCUAAUCUCAAAAAAGCCGAUCGUAGUCCGGAUCGCAGUCUGCAACUCGACUGCGUGAAGUCGGAAUCGCUAGUAAUCGCGGAUCAGAAUGCCGCGGUGAAUACGUUCCCGGGCCUUGUACACACCGCCCGUCACACCAUGGGAGUUUGUUGCACCAGAAGUAGGUAGUCUAACCGCAAGGAGGACGCUUACCACGGUGUGGCCGAUGACUGGGGUGAAGUCGUAACAAGGUAAGCGUAGAUGA
rnacentral:rRNA from 1 species